GUGACCAACAUCCAAAAAACCCACUGCUUAAUAAAAAUUAUUAAUCACUCAUUUAUUGACCUAUUAGCACUACCAAACAUUUCUGCAUGAUGAAAUUUUGGCUCUCUUCUAGGUGACUGCCUGGCCCUACAAAUUAUUACAGGACUGUUCCUAGCCAUACACUAUAUACCAGAUAUAAUAGCUGCAUUCUCCUCCAUCACCCACAUCUGUUGAGAUGUAAAUUAUGGCUGAUUUAUCCAAUAUCUACAUGCCAAUGGAGCAUCAAUAUUCUUCAUCUUCUUCUUCUUACAUGUAGGAUGAGGCUUAUAUUACGGGUCUUAUACUUGCCUAGAAACCUGAAACAUUGGUAUUAGUUUAUUAUUUGCCAUAAUAGUACAGCAUUUAUAGGUUAUGUCCUGCUAUGAGGAUAGAUAAACUUCUAAGGUACAACAGAAAUCACAACCUCGUAUCCGUUAUUCCAUAUACUGGCACUGACCUUGUGCAGUGAAUUUGUCGGGGCUUUUCAGUUGACAAGGCCACCCUCACACGAUUCUUCGCCUUCACUUCAUCUUACCCUUUGUUAUUGUAGCCCUAGUAGCUGUCCACCUUUUAUUUCUCCACAAGACAGCAUCUAACAAUCUGUCAGGAGUUUCAUCAGAUUCUAACAAAAUUCCAUUUCACCCCUACUAUACAAAGACAUCUUAAGCCUGAUCCCCUUUCUUCUAUUACUACUUUAUUCUCAUCUGACCUAUUUAUUCUCACCUGACCAACUAGACUCUGGCAAAUACCCUCAAUACACCAUCCUACAAUAAACCAGAGUGAUACUUUUUGUUUGCCUACACAAUUCUACAUUCUGUCCCUAACAAAGUAAGAGGGGUACUGGCCUUUGUCCUCUUCAUUCGUAUCCUAACUAUUUUUCCAAUACUUCACAUAUCCAAGCAGCGAAGCAUGAUAUUUCAACCAUUAAGUCAAUGCUUAUGCUGAGUUUUAGUAGCAGACCUUCUUAAGCUUACAUGAAUCAGAGGCCAAGCUGUCCAACACCCCUUCAUCAUCAUCGGCUAAGCAGCAUCUAUUGCAUAUUUUUCCCUCAUCCUUGUUUUCAUGUCACUCACUAGUCUAAUAGAAAACAAGUUACCCAAAUGA
rnacentral:lncRNA from 10 species